UACGAAGGGGGCUAGCGUUGCUCGGAAUCACUGGGCGUAAAGCGCACGUAGGCGGAUUCCUAAGUCGGGGGUGAAAUCCUGGAGCUCAACUCCAGAACUGCCUUCGAUACUGGGAAUCUCGAGUCCGGGAGAGGUGAGUGGAACUGCGAGUGUAGAGGUGAAAUUCGUAGAUAUUCGCAAGAACACCAGUGGCGAAGGCGGCUCACUGGCCCGGUACUGACGCUGAGGUGCGAAAGCGUGGGGAGCAAACAGG
rnacentral:rRNA from 1 species